GUGCCCAGGAACCCCCUUCAGCAACAUAUAUACUAAAAUUGGAACAAUAUAAAGAAGAUUAGCAUUGCUCCUACACAAGGAUGACAUGAAAAUCAUUGAAGCAUAUUAUACUUCA
ensembl:snRNA U6 U6 spliceosomal RNA